GGAGGUGACAGGUGCUUGGUGGUGCCCCUGGUCUUCAAAACCAGUGCGAGGUCGUAUAUCGGUCUCGGGUGGGUUCGAUUCCCAUUCACCUCCGCCA
rnacentral:tRNA from 1 species